rnacentral:rRNA from 1 species
CCUACGGGGGGCAGCAGUGGGGAAUAUUGGACAAUGGGGGCAACCCUGAUCCAGCCAUGCCGCGUGUGUGAAGAAGGCCCUCGGGUUGUAAAGCACUUUCAGUGAGGAAGAACGCCUGGUGGUUAAUACCCAUCAGGAAAGACAUCACUCACAGAAGAAGCACCGGCUAACUCCGUGCCAGCAGCCGCGGUAAUACGGAGGGUGCGAGCGUUAAUCGGAAUUACUGGGCGUAAAGCGCGCGUAGGUGACUUGAUAAGCCGGUUGUGAAAGCCCCGGGCUCAACCUGGGAACGGCAUCCGGAACUGUCAAGCUAGAGUGCAGGAGAGGAAGGUAGAAUUCCCGGUGUAGCGGUGAAAUGCGUAGAGAUCGGGAGGAAUACCAGUGGCGAAGGCGGCCUUCUGGACUGACACUGACACUGAGGUGCGAAAGCGUGGGUAGCAAACAGGAUUAGAUACCCGAGUAGUC